AGAGUUUGAUCCUGGCUCAGGAUGAACGCUCGUGGCAGGCUUAACACAUGCAAGUCGAGGGGCAGCGCGGGGCGGCAACGUCCUGGCGGCGACCGGCGGAAGGGUGCGUAACGCGUGAGCGACAUGCCCGUUGCCCGGGGACAACCGGUGGAAACGCCGACUAAUCCCCGAUGGGAUACGAUGCUUCAUGGCAUUGUAUUGAAAGUUACGGCGGCGACGGAUUGGCUCGCGUCCGAUUAGCUUGUUGGCGGGGUAACGGCCCACCAAGGCUACGAUCGGUAGGGGUUCUGAGAGGAAGGCCCCCCACAUUGGAACUGAGACACGGUCCAAACUCCUACGGGAGGCAGCAGUGAGGAAUAUUGGUCAAUGGACGAGAGUCUGAACCAGCCAAGUAGCGUGCAGGAUGACGGCCCUAUGGGUUGUAAACUGCUUUUAUAAGGGAAUAAAGUGAGUCUCGUGAGACUUUUUGCAUGUACCUUAUGAAUAAGGACCGGCUAAUUCCGUGCCAGCAGCCGCGGUAAUACGGAAGGUCCGGGCGUUAUCCGGAUUUAUUGGGUUUAAAGGGAGCGUAGGCCGGAGAUUAAGCGUGUUGUGAAAUGUAGAUGCUCAACAUCUGAACUGCAGCGCGAACUGGUUUCCUUGAGUACGCACAAAGUGGGCGGAAUUCGUGGUGUAGCGGUGAAAUGCUUAGAUAUCACGAAGAACUCCGAUUGCGAAGGCAGCUCACUGGAGCGCAACUGACGCUGAAGCUCGAAAGUGCGGGUAUCGAACAGGAUUAGAUACCCUGGUAGUCCGCACGGUAAACGAUGGAUGCCCGCUGUUGGUCUGAAUAGGUCAGCGGCCAAGCGAAAGCAUUAAGCAUCCCACCUGGGGAGUACGCCGGCAACGGUGAAACUCAAAGGAAUUGACGGGGGCCCGCACAAGCGGAGGAACAUGUGGUUUAAUUCGAUGAUACGCGAGGAACCUUACCCGGGCUUGAAUUGCAGAGGAAGGAUUUGGAGACAAUGACGCCCUUCGGGGCCUCUGUGAAGGUGCUGCAUGGUUGUCGUCAGCUCGUGCCGUGAGGUGUCGGCUUAAGUGCCAUAACGAGCGCAACCCCUCUCCUUAGUUGCCAUCAGGUCAUGCUGGGCACUCUGGGGACACUGCCACCGUAAGGUGUGAGGAAGGUGGGGAUGACGUCAAAUCAGCACGGCCCUUACGUCCGGGGCUACACACGUGUUACAAUGGCAGGUACAGAGAGACGGUCCCUUGCAAAAUGGAUCAAAUCCUUAAAGCCUGUCUCAGUUCGGACUGGGGUCUGCAACCCGACCCCACGAAGCUGGAUUCGCUAGUAAUCGCGCAUCAGCCAUGGCGCGGUGAAUACGUUCCCGGGCCUUGCACUCACCGCCCGUCA
rnacentral:rRNA from 1 species